CUCAAUGGUAGAGCACUAGGCUUGAGUGAAAAAGCUCAGACAGUGCCUAGGCCCAUGGCUGACAAAAAUGAAACAGAACAAAUCAUAUAAAUUACCAGUAAUCAUUGUGUUAGCAGAGCUGGCAAAUUUGGUUUUGAUACUGAAAAUAGAUUCACAGUUAAUAAAAUAAAUAAUGGCAAAUUUGAAAGUCAAGAUCAAGAUUGUGGAAGAAUGAACCUAACAUGGAAUGAAAACAGAAACUUGUAUUUCAAAUAAUAUGCCCAUUGGUCUGACAACAAAAAUAAUUGUAAAAAGUGUUGAAUUCUGAGUUUGUUUAUUGUAAGAUUGAGCAAAAAUUUUAUUCCAAAUUCAUGUACUGAAUUUGUCAUUAUUGGAGAACAGGGUUUUAAGUAUGAAAAAAGGGAAACUGAUGUGGACUUGGCAUUGACAUUGGAUAUAGUUUAUACACGUUAUACGUGUAUGUGUUUGUAUAUCUUUUUUGGUGGGGUGCAAUACAGAAAUUUGAACUCAGGGUCUUGUACUUGCUAGACAGGUGCUCUCUGACUUGAGCCAUUUAGCCAGUCUCUUUUUACAUUUUUGAAAAAAGGUCUUCCUUUAUGUCUACAUGACGGAACAUUUUUACUUGCAUAUAUGCCACAGCUCCCAGACAUUGGUUGAGAAGGGAGUAUUGUAAACUUUUUUUGGGUCAGCAUUAGCCUUAAAUUGUGACCCCUUCAGUAUUUUCCUCCCAAAUUGCCAGGAUUACAGGCUUGAGCCACUAUGCCUUACGGAUAGUGAAAGGGCCUACAAGGCAAUAUUAUCCUUUCAGUAAUGAGCAUACUUUAUGUCCAGGCAGAAGUUUCUAAAAGACUAUUUCUUAUUAAAAAUAAACAAUGAUUCUUAGAGAAAGGAUUGGUUCUAGGCUAGAGUAAGGAAAAUAGAGGAAUCAACUAAUUAGACCAAUUAAUUGAUUCAUAAGUAAGGAACAGAGUGCUCAAAAAAAAUGAUAGAGUCACAUCAAGCAUAUACAAGUCCAAGUGAAAGAGUUCACACUUGGUUGAAUCUGGGACACAUUUUGAGCAUUAGACUUGGUAAUUAUAGGAAUAUAAUAGUUAUAUAAAAGAAGGAUUUGAAUGUUUGGUUACAAGUAAAUGAAUGAUAGAAAAGAACAGAAGUCAUUUACAAAAGAAUACUACCUAGUUCAUAUAGAAGUAAUAACCACAUUAGUCAAGAAUCAUCAAAACUAGUAACUGGAAGUUUGUCAAGGAUUAAGGUGCUUAUAUUACUUUAAGCCUUUUCUGUAUAUUACUUUUUAAAGGAAAAGGGUAACCUUAUGGCACAUUAAAGUCUCCAUUGUAACAAAGUGACAGAACUUACAAUGUAGCAGAUGCUUCCUAGAGUAAAUACCAGGAUGCCAGGUCACACCUGUGACAUUCUUGCAUUAUCUUUACUUUUUUUUUUUUUUUUUUUGUCUGAGACUAGGACUCAGACUUGGUACCAGACACUUUCAUUUCCUAGUGCUCAGUGCUCUUUCAACUAAGCCUUGCCUCUAACCCCAUCAUAAUGCUUUAUCUAAUUAUUUAUGAAGAAACACUGAUAAAUACAAACCAAGCAGUCUAUAAAACUGCUACGAUAUACUCUUUAAAAUGUCAAGGUCAUGGAAAUCAAGAACCACUUUAAUUUUAAAUGGUUCAGGGGGAAAAAGUGUCUGUCUGGAGUUAGGAGUUAGGGUGGGACACAGAAGUUGCUUGAGCAACUGAGAGGAAGAAUGAGAAUAUAGUUGUUCCUAGAUAUGUAUGAUGGAUUGGUUCCAGAACCUCCUUUGGACAUCAAAAUCUUUAGCUGGUCAAUUCUCUUCUGUAAAGUAACAGAGAAUUUAUUCAACUGGCUUUGAAUUUGUAUUCCUCCUGCCUUAGUUUCUCAAGUACUGGGAUUUAGGCAUGUACACGAUGCUGACUAUAAAUUCCUUCCUGUCUUCUUCCCUUCCUUCCUUUCCAGUUACAGAGUUUGAACUCAGUAUCUCACAAUCUUAGUAGGCAUGCUUGCUUACUGCUGACACACUACCACUUGAUUAUUACUUGGAGGUAAAGUCUUCUAGAAAUUUUCUGGCUGGUCUUGUUGCAGUCUUCUGAUCUCAGCCUCUUAAGUAGUUAGGAUAACAGGUUUAAGUCACUUGCACCUGCCCUGAAUUUCUUUAUAAGAGUAUUGACUUUCUUUCUAUUGUUAAAAUAUCACCUGUGCCUAAAAGUGUAGAUUUGAUGUUUGUUUUUUAAUUAGCACACAGUUGUACAAAGGCAGUUUCAUUGUGAUAUUUCCACACAUGCAUAGAGUGUAUCCAGAUCAGCCCUACUCCCUUAAUCUUUCUCCCCAAUCCUUAAAACAAUUGGAACAGAUUUCAUUUUCACAGAUGUAAUUAAGCUACCUGGAUCAUAUUCAUCUUCAUUUACCCUCUUUGUUAGCACUCUUUCUCUCCCACUGGUACCCAAUCCCCAAUCUGAGCCUGUUUUACCUGAUUUUUUUUUUUUUGCAUGCCCGUGUAUAUGUUAAUUCCACCAAGGGUACUGUAUUUCAGAAGUGCAUAUGUUAUAUUUUAUUCAGAAUAACUAUCUAGUGCUCCUCUUCCUCAGCUGUUCCCAUCUCCUGUUUGUUAGUGUUUUUGUUUCUAAAUGACAUUCAAAGUAAGAUAACAAA